rnacentral:rRNA from 1 species
CCUACGGGUGGCUGCAGUGAGGAAUAUUGGUCAAUGGCCGGAAGGCUGAACCAGCCAAGCCGCGUGAAGGACGAAGGUGCCAAGCAUUGUAAACUUCUUUUGUCAAGGCACAAAAUCAGGCUCGAGAGCCUGACCGAGGGUACUUGAAGAAAAAGCAUCGGCUACCUCGGUCCCAGCAGCCGCGGAAAUACGGGGGAGGCGAGGGUUAUACGGAUGGAUUGGGUUUAAAGGGGGCGUAGGCGGACUGUUAAGUCAGCGGUAACAGCCCGGGGCUCAACCCCGGCGAGCCGUUGAAACUGGGUGUCUUGAGAUGUCGAGAGGUAUGCGGAAUGCGCAGUGUAGCGGUGAAAUGCGUAGAUAUUGCGAAGAACUCCGAUGGCGAAGGCAGCAUACCGGCGGCGAUCUGACGCUGAGGCACGAAAGCGUGGGGAGCGAACAGGAUUAGAUACCCCGGUAGUC